GUUAGCUCUUUGCAAUACUUACAAUAUCUGUGAUCAUGGAUAAUCUAUUUAAUUUUCUUAUAGCUCAAUCUCCUUGAUUGUAGAGAUAAGACCUAUCUUUUGAAGUUAUUGGGUUGAUUAAAAAUAUGUCUUGUUUCUUUAUAGAUAGACAUCUAAAUAAAAUCAAUGCUUGAAUGUUCUGCUCUUAUUAGGUGUGGGGGAGAGGAAAUUGAUAAAUGUGGUUUCUUGCAGCCUCUUUCAAGUGAACAAUUCUGGGUCUUUUUUUUUUAAUCCAGGUUGGGACUGACAAGAUGGCUCAGUUGGGUCACAGUGCUUUAUACUAACUAAGCCUGAUUACCUGAGUUCAAUCCUUAAGAUCCAUAAUGUAGAAGGAAAGAACCAACUGCUACAUGAUGUCCUUUGAUCUUAACAAAGUGUCUCCUCCCACAAAUAAGUGAGUAAAAUGUAAUGAGUUAAUAUGUAAACCAUGCUAACCUUGAAUUUGCAGUCAUCCACCUGCCUCUGCCUCAUAGGUGCUGGGAUUAAAGAUGUGCUUCAUCAAACUUAGCUUGCCCAUUUUUUAAAGGCUGGUGCAUAUUUGCAGUUCUAUAGCUAUGUACUUCCAUCUUAGAAUUUAUAGUUUUUAUUCAUUUUGCAUGGUCUCUGUUCCCUUUAAUCUAACCUAGCAGUAUUUCUGUUGAUAUAACCCAUAGUUUCUUAAUCAAGAAAUAGAGUUCCAUUUAUCUGUAGGUAUAAGGAUAAAUAUUGAGAAUACAAUUGGAUAAUUACAUUCGCUUAGGGAAAUAGUAGAUUCUCCUCUAAGGUCUAUAACAUCACAAGCCAUGAUUAGCUGUCUAGGCUGAAAGUACCAGGCAGAAAUUCCUUCCUAUUAAGGAAACCUUAUGUCCAAUUAGAGAGCUGUUGGUUACCUCCAAGAUAAAGUGUCACUAUUGCACAACUGGAGAGAGCUUGCUGGGCCAGUCAUUGUUGUGAUUCUUAGGCUUUACAUCUAGAUAGGACUAUUGUUUGUUUCUCCCUUGGAAGUUUGCAAGCACCUCUAGAUACUAUGAGAGCUCGUCUUCAGGGAAGAGGCUUCCAGGUCAGUUCUGGCUCAUUUUUCCAAGUUGUGUGUCCAAAGUGUCUAAUGUCUUCUACAAUAGAAUCUUACCUUCAGCCUAUGGAAGAGAACCACGGGAAGGCAAUGGCAAUAACCUAAAUUGUUGUGGAAGUCUCUUGGAUGCCUAUUAACCAACAAGUCAAAGGAAGGUUUCCCCUGUUCUGCACUGUUUUGUUUUGUUUUGUUUUGUUUUGUUUUGUUCAUCUAUUAGGUAGCCUACAGCUCUUGUGGGGAACACUGCACCAUGUGUCACUUACUAUCAUUAAAAUAUAUGUAUACCUCCAAAUAUGCAUAUACAUAUGUGUGUGAUAUGAAAUUUUAAGGAAGCUUACAAAAUAACAUGCUUCCUUAUGACAUUUUGAAAUUCCUGGGAGUGUGGAAAAGGUGCAGGUGAGUGGGGGUCUAAGUAAUUUACCAGGAUGGAUUUAUAUACAGACUAUGCAUGCAAGGAUGUAGACAGAGGAGGUGACCGAGGAUCUAGAUGGCUCACUAGGCUUGGCCAUAGAACAGUCUGCUGGACAUAGAUAGGACUUCUGGGAGUAUGAAGAUGACAAGUGUAUGAAAACGAUGAGGAACAUUCACACACACACACACACACACACACACAGAGAGAGAGAGAGAGAGAGAGAGAGAGAGAGAGAGAGAGAGAGAGAGAGCAGGAUAAGCUGGUGAGCAGGCUGUAGGACCCUCAGCUAGGCAUGACACUAUGGUGAUUAUGUAAGCACUUAAGAAUCUAUGUCACUCACUUUGAGCUGGUGCAUAUGCUGCAUGACCCUAAGUAGGCUGAAAAGUUUAGGGAUAGUGCGCAUGGGUGAAAUUCUAGGGAUAAAUACAAGGCUAUGCUGAUAAGCAUGAAGCUUGUUAGAAAGGAUGGAAACAGACAGGGUGUGUGGAAUCAUUAUCACUCACCAGGAAGUGAUGUUACAUUGCACAGGUUUUAAGACUUGAGAUAAGUGUGGAAUAUGGGCACCAUGCUGCCAGGCUGGAAAUUGGGUUGGUUCCUAAGAAAGGCCAAUGUGCAGGCUACAGGUAAUUAAUGAAGUCAGCAAAUGUGGGUGCUGGUGAGAUCAUAGCCAAUUCUGGGAAGAGGGCACACAAAGGACCCUUCAGGAUAUCAGAGCUGUGUGGACUGAUGUAGCUAUCAGAUACAACCUAGGGCCAUGCCCGUGUCCAAGACCUGGAAAUGUCUGUGUUAGUUUCACUAGAUUGGUCUACAACACAGAUUUUCAGCAAGAAUGUGAAUUGCAAAUUUAGGGGUAGGUAUGUAAGGAAUCGGAGUUCUCUCUCUGCUAGCUUAGUAUGCAGGAUGUAUAAAUGUAUCUAAACAUGAGAGUAGAAUACCAACGAGGUCUUGGUGUGGGCCUGAUUGAGGGAACAAUGUGACUAGGCCACUAAAAAGGGUUGAGUUCUGUAAACAUUUACAGAGCACGUGGAUUAUGGCAGUUGUUCUAAAAGUGUGGCCCAGAUGAAUUGUCUGAAAACACAGACUCUGUUACAUGGCAAUUCAGAACAGGAGGAAAAUUAGUCAUGAAGUAGAAAAAAGAUAAUAUUAGGAUUGGAGGUCACCACAAAGUGAAGAAACAUAUCAUUCAGGACUGUUGAAGCAUUGGGAAUGUUGUGAUCUGCUGCCUUAUGGUGAUAGAAUAUGUAGGGUGGCUUGGCUGAUGUCAGGCUCAAUGUCCCAGGAAGCCCUUUGUCCUGGGUGUGUUCUAACAAUGGUGGUAGGUAUUUACCUGUGUCACUGACUGAGCUUUGGUGUUGCAUGGGCUUUUGGACUAUAAGCAGGCCUUUAUGGGGAACACAUGGGUGAGUGGAAGGCACAGUCUACCUACCUCCAAGGCUGGUCUGACAGAGAACAAUGGGAUCCCAUUUCAUUCUGGGAUGAUUAAAACUGGGUAAAAUACAGAGUUAUAAGAACCUCAAAUGACUGGCCAGGAGCACAAAACUGAGCAACACCAGCAAGUCCAGGGGACAAUGGACAAAGUCAAGGAGAGUAGAUGGGGUCACUAGACCCCAUCUGAUCCUGGGUGGUGAGGACUGCAUGAACAUGAACAGAUGUGGGACUCAUAUAGAUGAGGAACUUCCCACCCUAGGGCUCUGACCUUGGCAAUCUGCUGCAAAUGUGUAUCCUAGGCACACAGAAUCUGUAUCCUCAACUCGGUCAUGCAUUGUGAAGACAGGGCUAGGCAUGUGGAGAAAUGGACUACUCCCUGACGGGUCUUGUGCACAAGGGGUGCAAAUUCUUCUCGACCUGGCGGUUUGUGAACAUAAUCCUGUAAAGGCAGGUCUGUCUUCUUAACACUGCACAGUUUGAGCAUAGGCUGUGGACUCCCCUACCCUGCCUGCACAGUUGAGUGUCUGGGGCACUCACCUUGCUGGGCUGUUGCACAUGGCACCCUACCCAAGUUAGGUCUAAGCCCAUAGAACACUGUAGGUGUAUCAUCUCCUGGACAGUGACAAGGCCUUGCUGGUUUGUAGGCUGUGUGACCCCAAAUAACUUGGGAUACAUAGACAGCAGGUGUUGUGGGAACUUAGGGAGCCUGUGCCAAGGGAUAUUGUAUGGCCAUCUUGACUGGAGAAAGGCCUCUAAUUACGAAACCCUGCUGGUGGACAGAGGUAGAGGUGAUCCUCCUUGAGAGAAUAUUAUGCAAUCUUUAAGACACCAGCAAGGUCUAGCAGUAUGGGGCCUCUUGAGUCCCAAGAAGUUUGUCCCUUUUUGGCCUAUGGUGCUCUAAAGACUAAAUUGUCAAGGCCUUGAUGUGGGCCUGAUAGAGGGAACCAAGGGAUUAGACCACUUAACCUCUUGAGUACUGUGGAAAACCACAAAGUUUAUGGAUUAUGUCAGUGGCUCUCAAACUGUGGGUCUUAAGCCAGAAAUGAUUAUCUGAAACCACAGAUUUAUUUCCAGGACUAUUCAAAAUCAUAGUCGUGCAGUAGCAAUGGAAAUAAUUUUAUAGUUGCAGGUCAUCAAAAUAUUAGGAUUUAUAUCAUAGAGGUUUGAGGCACUGCAAAUUUUGAACCACUUUCUUAAGGUUUUAGAGAAUGUACAGUAGAGAGAACUGUGUCAAGAUCUAGGCUUGGCAGAGGUAAGGCUCAAUGCCACAGGAAGCCCUCUGUGCUGGGUGUGUUGCAACAAUGAUGGUGGGUAUUUACAUGUGUAACUUAAGUUUCGGUGUUGCACGGGCUCCUGGACCCUAGGCAAGCCUUCCUAGAGUAUAGAAAUCCCAUGGGUGAGGGAAGAUACAGGCAACCUCCCAGGCUGGUCUGACCUGGAGCAAUGGGAUCCCAUUUCAUUCUGUGAUGAUUAAAAUUGGGUAAAAAUACAUAGUUAGAAGAACCUCAAAUGACUGGCCAGGAGCACAAAACUGAGCAAUACCAGCAAGUCCAGAGGACAAUGGACAAGGUCAAGGAGGGUGAAUCAGGGUCACCGAACCCCAUCUGAUCCUGGGUGGUGAGGACUGUAAGAUCAGGUGGGGGUGUGGGACUCAAAGCUGGCUGGUCUGAUGCAGAUGAGGGACCACUUCAACUAGGCAUCUAACCUUGGUGAUCUGCUGUAACUGUGUGUCCUAGGCACACAGAAUCUGUACCCUCAGCUUGGUCAUGCAUUGUGAAGACAGGGCUAGGCAUGUGGGGAACUGGAGUGCUUCCUCAUGGGUCUCAUGCACAAAGAGUACAAAUCCAUCUAGACCUGGCUGCCUGUGAAAACAAUCCUGUAAAUGUAUGCUUGUGGUCUUCACAUUGCCAGGGUUGAGCGUAGGCUGCUGACUCCCCCUCUGCCUAGGGUUAUGGGACUGUGUCUGUCGUCGAUGAUCUGGGGUACUCAUCUUGCUGGGAUGUUGCACAUGGUAUCCUACUCCAGCUAAGUCUAAGCAUGUGGUACAGUGUAGCGGUGUCAUGUGCUGGACACUGACAAGGUCUUGCUGGUUUGUAGGCUGCAUCGUCCUAGCAACUUUUGGACAGACAGAUACCAGGUGGAUUGCAAUCUGACACAGACUGGGCCAUGCAUGGGACAUUGCAUGGCCAUCUCUACCCAAAUAGGGCCUCAAAUGUGGGAAGCAGGGCAUUCAGGGUAGGGGUGAUUCUUCCUGAUAGACUAUUAUGCAGCCAUCAAGACACCAGCACAGUCUAACAGCAUGUGGCCUCAUAAGUCCCAUUGUGCUCUUUAUCCUUCUCUGACCUGUGAGCUGUCCAGACUACAUUGACUGAGCCUUGGUGUGGGCCUGGUGGAGGGAACUAUGGCACACAACUGGUUGACUGCUGGGAAAAUCCACAGAGCCCAUAGAUUAUGGCAGUGGUUCUCAAACUGUAGUGUGUGUUUCUGAAAACACAUACUGUUUUCCAUGACAAUUCAUAACAGUAGCUAAAUUGUAGUCAUGAAAUAGCAACAGGAAUAAUGUUACUGUUGCAGGUCGCCACAGUGUUAGGAAUUGUAUUGUAUAGGGUGGAGGCACUGAGACUGUAGAGAAUGGCUGUCUUAGGCUGAUAGAGAAUGUAGGGUAGAGAAAGCUGGGGCAAGCUCUAGGCUUGGCAGAUGUAAGGUUCUAUGCCCCCCAAAAGCAUAUGUAUUGGUUAGUGGGCACAAUUUUGUUGGAUAGUUCCUGUGUCACUCACUAUGCUUUGGAGUUUCACAGGCUAGUCAGGCCUUCAUAGAAUAUGGGAAUCACAUGAGUGAAUGAAAGUCUGGCCCAUGCCCUAGGGUAGAUAACCUUGAGCAGUGGGACCCCAGUUGAUUCUGGGAUGAAAUGCAGAGACAUAAGUGUGUCAACAGACUGGCCAAGAGCAGAAACUGAGCAACACCAAUUAAGUCAAGAGAGCAACAGACAGAGCCAAGGAGGGAGAAUUGGGGUCACUCCAUAUUUUGGGUGAGGGAUGUAGUUGUAUCGGAUCCUGGGUAAUAGGGUCUGCAUGAACCUGAAAGCAUGUGAGACUCAAAGAUGGCUGGCCUGUUGCAUAUGUGGGACUCCAGCUAUGCCUCAGUCUGAGGCGAUGGGCUACAAAUACAUGUCUUGUUCCAACUCGAUUGGACUAGCACAGAGAAUCUGUGUCGUCAGCCUGGCCAUGCAUUGUGAAGUUAGGACUAGGCACGUGGAGAACUGGAGCACUUCCUUGCUGGUCUAGUGUAUAAGGUGCACAAAUCCAUCUAGAUCUAAGUGUCUGUGAACCUACCCUUUGACGAUUGCUCUGGGUUUUAACAUUUUUCAAAUGGAGCUGGGACACUGGAUCUGUAGUGGCCCUUUAAGCUGGAUAUUGCCUGAGGAACUGAGUAACUGAGGCAUUCACCUCUUUGUUCUGGUACACAUGACUUAUGACCCUUGCUUGGGCUAAGAAUAUGGUGGAUUAUCCUCUUAAAAUAUGUCUGGAUAUGUAGAAUACAUGCAGAAAUUGGUACUUGAUGGUGUGGGCAAAGGUGUUAGAUCAUUUUGGGGGUGUCCAUCAUGAAGUCUUUUUCGCUGGUUACCAUUUGCUUGUUUUCUCUGAUGUUAUUUUCCCUGUAUCUGCCUUAUAGUUUCCAGGGUUUUUUCCCUUUGAUACUCCUGGUUAGGUAUAGAAUUUUUCUUGUUGUUCCAGCGUGUGCAUUUUUGAACUAUGAAGUCUGACCAAGGGAUGUCUUUUCUGUAUACAUAUUUUUUUCCCCGCAUCCUCUUGUCUAACAGUGAAAGAUACAUUUCAGCUGUGUGGUUUAGCUAUCACAAAACUUCUUAGACAUAACAAUUACCUUUUUGGUAUUUUAUGGUUCCUACUCUGUCUUUCAUUGGCACUUCUGUUCUGAUCUCUAUGGCUCCCUCAUCUCUUCUUACUUUAUAUUAGAAGAAGCUUUCCAUGAGAUGUUUUUCAAAUUAAGAUUAGCAUGAACCCUGAAAAAAUAUUCUCUGCAUUUUACUAUUUCUGCUCUUUCUGCUUUGAUCAUUAAGUGUUCCAGAUCCAGUUUUUUUUAUCUAGUUGCCUGUGUUCUGGUCAGGAAGUCAGUCUUUUAAAUCAACCAUUUCCAAAGAGGUCAUGUCAUGUAGCUUUCAAAGGAAGUUUGCUACUUUUAUAUCUUCACCAUCAUUAUUUAUUCUAUUCAGUGAGGAAUUAUUGCAUGUGUCUUCCAUAGCUGGAUUUGUUUUGGUCACACAAGAGUCAUCAAUCUCUAUGUCCUCUCAAGCUAUAGCUGCCUUCAAAUCAUAUUGAUAUUCAUCAAUAUCUACUUCAUAUUCUUGUCCUUCCCAUAUAUAUUACUUUAAUAGCUACUAAAAUCUUCAACUUUCCCAUCUUUCAAAGGCAUAAUUGUUUUGAGUGCUCCUAUCCAUGGCAAUAACUGUGUGAUGAUGAAAAUGGCCAACAUUUUCCUAUAUACUUCAUGAAAUAUAUUCUACAUGCUACAUUUUCUACCAUAGGCAAUAUUUUUAGCAAAUAUGACUAUCUCAUGCCUUUCUUAACCACAGCUUCUUGGUGUGGUGAAGAAGUUUUUCAUAUUAACUUUUUACUGAAAAUGAGUAAUCAUAAGAGAUAUGAUCCAGGUCUAAGUUUUAUAUUAUCAUUAUGGACUUUGGCUUCAAAAAGAAUAUCUAGAAUGAUUUAUUCACUCAAGGGUUUUUAAGUCAUGAUAUAAUUUUCCAUGCCUAUAUAUUUAUAAUUCACAACUACUUUCACAAUAAAUUGAAUUCUUUGCACUCAUAUCCUCCCUGAUGCUGGAAUAAGCCAUCUGUCACUAUGUGUUUUCCUUGAUAUAGAUGCUGUUGACAAGAAAGUGAUGCUCAACUUCUAUGUCCUCUCAUUCAGUGCAGGGUCAUAGCUGUAAAGUACCUUCCAAAUCCAUUUCAUCAUGAGCUAAAGUUGCUUGGUAAAGUAAGAAGUUUUCCAUUACCAUAUCUUCCCAUUUUAUAUCCACCCUGCUUAAGGAAAUUCUCCAGCUUCUCUUCUCCCCUAGGCUCAACAAAGUUGGUCAGGAAAAAAAUGUUUCCACCUCUGGCCAAGAAAUAAGUUCUUUACCUGCAUGCUUUUCAGGCACAUAUGCUUUGAUAAUGCAAAGAGCCAUUCCUAGCUCAUGCCUCUCAAAGUCUGUCUACUCUGCUUAUGGGCUUGAUCUUUAUAAACAUUGUAUGUUAUGGCUCCUUCCAGAAAAAAAAAUGUAUCUUUCAGUUUCCCCCAACUAUAGCUAUCUUUGUCACAGAGUUAUUUUUCCAUUAUCAUGGCUUCUCAAGUCAUGGCAGUUUUGAUCAUGGGAGAAGACUUUCUACAGCCCAUUCCUUGCAGUUUAGGAUUUAUGAAGUCUUCUAACUCCACACCUAUCCAGCCAUAUCUAUUUUUGUCAGAUUCUAGUUUUGGUUUCCUUGGUUUCUUCAUCCAUACCUGUGUUUUCAAGUAGUAAAGUGUCUUGAGAUCUAGGACUUCUGCUCCAGUUGCUGUUGAUGUGAAUGAAAUCUGUUUUAGUGGCCACAGCGGAAAUUUCCUUUUUUCCUCUCUGGCCAUUUCUGCUCUGAGCACUGAAGAUUUUUUUCUGGUUGUACAUCUUAUAUGAGAAGAGCAGCUAUUGAUGUGUUUGUAUUGAGAUAAUGUCUCAUCAGCCAAGAAGACCUGAACUCACUAUAUUCUCCUACAAUGCUAGCUAACAGGACUUUGAUAUGUGUAUCUUAGCUUUAAAGCAUCCACAUAUUAUUAAUAGAUCUAUUAUCUCACAACCUUAUUAUUUAUAACAAGAGCAGCUAAAAUCUAGUUCUUUUUAAAAAAAACUAAGUACAAUAUGGUCUUAUUAACUAUAGUAGCCAUGCUGCAUUACAUUAUGUCUCUACACUUACUCCUCCUACACAUCUGCUACUUCAGGAUCCCCUUAGAACAGUUCUCUCAACUACAGCAUAGUGGAGGUUCUUUUGCAGAGCAAGUAUGAGUCCAUCCUCCCACAUUUCUAGCUUCAUCCAUGUCUUUGACAGUAUAUAGAGAAAUAUAUAAAGGAUAUGUUAAUCAGUACAGAGUUCUAGCCAAGGACAGCCAGGUAGAUGAGCCCAAUUUGUUCUCUUCUGUACAGUUUUGCAUUUCUAUCUUUGUCUAUUUGUAUUUAUGUGUUUCAUUUUCAUGCUGUGUAUUUUGGCACUUUACUCUGUAUCCUGACUGCAUCCAACCUAAGAAGGAGACUACACAUGUAGCACAGGGAACAUAUUGUAAUCAUGACAUGACAAUGGCCAAUUCAGCAGCUACUUCUCUAAAAGGUGAAUCUCAGAAGCAAGCACAGAAACCUAAAAUAUGAAGAAUUCACUGGAAGACGAUGAGGCUUUCUAUGGGCAAAGCCAAUGUCUGCCUAGGAUAGAUGAUCUGGAGAUGUCUAUCUGUCUCAGUUCAGCCCCUUCAUCAGACUAAACGUAGCAAAAAAGGUCAGACUUAUAACUUGUAAAAAGUCACCUGUGGGUGAAAUAUUCUUUCCAUAUACCAUGAAUACUGGCCUUGGUGGUAUACACCUGAAAUCCUAUGACUAAAAGGAGCAAAGCAGUAGGAUUACAGCCUAGCCUGGGUUGCAUAAGAACCUGUCUAAAAAAUGGUUAAUAUGUAUUACUCUUACUUAUAUUUGCUGUUUUUUCUUUGGAAUAUCCCUGGAUCUCUGAACCCCAUUUGGCUCAACGUCAUGUCUUUAACUCAACCGAGCAACAUCUUUGGACACUUGAAUCUGGAUUUCCCUCAGGCUUGGAUUUUGGUGUCCACUAUGUAGACCUUCACACUGUAAUUACAGCAUCUUCUGUGACCAUGAAGAUUAGUUGGCAUGGAGGAAGUUUCCAGUUCAUCUCCACAGGUUGAUUCCUCUAUGAUCUGUGACCAACAUCUGUAGUGUCUUCAACAGCAGGGUCUUACCAUCAAGUUCUGGUGAGCAACCAAGAGCAAUGGCAAUAGCCUAUAUAUUGGGUAUUUGGGGGAGGGCAGCUUUGGGAAUUCCUAGACCAAACUCAUAGAGAGCCACCCCCACAUGGCACUGGCGUUUUUAUUCAAUAGCCUAUUAUCCCUUCUUGAUAAGUAUCUCCAUUCACAUUAUCUUUAGAUUGAUUUUUAAUAAGCUUAUUAAAUACUAGGUUUCCAUAUGGAUUUUUCACAUAUCCUUAGUUUUUAUUGCCCCCUCCUUUCUACUCCUCUUCACUAUCUUCCCACCACCUUUUCUAUUUAGACACUUCUACCCCCAUUCUUCUUCUUCUCCAUUUUUCAUGACUGAUGUCUUCCACUAUCUAUGUACCACAUUUUCAUUAUUCAUUCAUCAGUUGAUGGACAACUAGGCUGAUUUUACUUCUAUGUGAUGGAUGAUACUGAUUAAUU
rnacentral:lncRNA from 1 species